GACGAACGCUGGCGGCGUGCUUAACACAUGCAAGUCGAACGGUAAGGCUCCAGCUUGCUGGGGUACACGAGUGGCGAACGGGUGAGUAACACGUGGGUGACCUGCCCUGCACUUCGGGAUAAGCCUGGGAAACUGGGUCUAAUACCGGAUAGGACCGCACCGUGAGGGUGUGGUGGAAAGUUUUUUCGGUGUGGGAUGGGCCCGCGGCCUAUCAGCUUGUUGGUGGGGUAAUGGCCUACCAAGGCGGCGACGGGUAGCCGGCCUGAGAGGGUGGACGGCCACAUUGGGACUGAGACACGGCCCAGACUCCUACGGGAGGCAGCAGUGGGGAAUAUUGCACAAUGGGCGGAAGCCUGAUGCAGCGACGCCGCGUGGGGGAUGACGGCCUUCGGGUUGUAAACUCCUUUCACCAUCGACGAAGGGUUUCUGACGGUAGAUGGAGAAGAAGCACCGGCUAACUACGUGCCAGCAGCCGCGGUAAUACGUAGGGUGCGAGCGUUGUCCGGAAUUACUGGGCGUAAGGAGCUCGUAGGUGGUUUGUCGCGUCGUCUGUGAAAUUCCGGGGCUUAACUCCGGGCGUGCAGGCGAUACGGGCAUAACUUGAGUACUGUAGGGGAGACUGGAAUUCCUGGUGUAGCGGUGAAAUGCGCAGAUAUCAGGAGGAACACCGGUGGCGAAGGCGGGUCUCUGGGCAGUAACUGACGCUGAGGAGCGAAAGCAUGGGGAGCGAACAGGAUUAGAUACCCUGGUAGUCCAUGCCGUAAACGGUGGGCGCUAGGUGUGGGUUUCCUUCCACGGGAUCCGUGCCGUAGCUAACGCAUUAAGCGCCCCGCCUGGGGAGUACGGCCGCAAGGCUAAAACUCAAAGGAAUUGACGGGGGCCCGCACAAGCGGCAGAGCAUGUGGAUUAAUUCGAUGCAACGCGAAGAACCUUACCUGGGCUUGACAUAUACAGGAUCGCGCCAGAGAUGGUGUUUCCCUUGUGGCUUGUAUACAGGUGGUGCAUGGUUGUCGUCAGCUCGUGUCGUGAGAUGUUGGGUUAAGUCCCGCAACGAGCGCAACCCUUGUCUUAUGUUGCCAGCACGUUGUGGUGGGGACUCGUAAGAAACUGCCGGGGUUAACUCGGAGGAAGGUGGGGAUGACGUCAAAUCAUCAUGCCCCUUAUGUCCAGGGCUUCACACAUGCUACAAUGGUCGGUACAGUGGGUUGCCAGUCCGUGAGGGCGAGCUAAUCCCGCAAAGCCGGUCUCAGUUCGGAUCGGGGUCUGCAACUCGACCCCGUGAAGUCGGAGUCGCUAGUAAUCGCAGAUCAGCAACGCUGCGGUGAAUACGUUCCCGGGCCU
rnacentral:rRNA from 1 species